CGAAUCAGAAUACAACACGUUCGUGAAACUUGGGCCAUAGUCUAAGACUAAGAACGUGCCAUUUGAACGUGAAAGUCUGUAGUUGCACGAAGAAUAGUUAGCCGAAGUCGAAAUUAUUCCAAGGUGAAAUAACUCUUGGAGUGCUUUGAAAAAUUGUUCAGACAUGGACAUUCUUCUUUUAAACGACAAUUAGUCCUCAAAUGAGAUUGAGAAACAACGAACAAAUGUUGGUGUAUUUAUCAUGAUCGUAGACUCCACAAUUAAAGAAAGUGGUUAUUGUUCACAGCGGUUGAAGAGAAUUGUGGCUGUUGUCGACCAAUUCCCCGACGCUCAUCUAAAUAUAAGAACAAAAUACAAUUCUGUAAUUUGGUUGAAAUUUUUCUUCCCUUGAACUACAUUACUAGUUAAUAAAAUGUUCAAUAAACCUUCUGAUCAAGAAUGGACAAUAUACGUACUUUAAUGAAAUCCUCUGAACAAUGAUCAAGAAUGAACAGCAUACUUUAAUGAAGUCCUCUGAAGAAUUCUCAAGAAUGAACAAUUUAUUUUCAUGAAGACUUCUGAACGAUGGUCAAGAAUGGGCAGUGUACUUUGAUGAAAUCCUCUGAACAAUGAUCAAGAAUGAACAAUUUACUUUAAUGAAGACCUCUGAACGAUGAUCAAGAAUGGGCAGUGUACUUUGAUGAAAUCCUCUGAACAAUGAUCAAGAAUGAACAAUAUACUUUAAUGAACUCUUCUGAACAAUGAUCAAGAAUGAACAAUAUACUUUAAUGAACUCUUCUGAACAAUGAUCAAGAAUGAACAAUAUACUUUAAUGAACUCUUCUGAACAAUGAUCAAGAAUGGACAAUAUACUUUGAUGAAAUUGAAAAAUACGCGACUUCUAAUGCCCUAAAGACUUCAUCUACAAAGAAUGCAAACGCUAAACACUCUUCUGGAGCAAUGCAUCCAUCAGCCUAACGCCUGUUUCCAUGGAAAAGUCAAUAUUAUGAACUUUUCUAAAACAUUUUCCUGGGAGUUUUCCUGCUAACAUCACGACUGGUCAAUCAAUCGCAAUGAUGGAUAAAACCACGCCGCUAUCAAAUGCCCAAAUGUCAACAUUAUUUAAUUGAAAAUUUUUGUAAUAAAAACAUGGAAUUUCUUUAACAUGAAAAUGAAAAACCUAAAAAUCCUAAUUUUCCGACUGGCUGUCGAUAUUUCCGAUUUAAUGCCGUAGACGACAUGCACAGUUGCAAGAAAUGGCCAAUCUUGUUUCUGUGCUUGCCGUCGUCGACAUAAAAGCGGUGAUGUUUGUCAGGUAGCCUGAAAAUUGGAUACGAUGGUUUCACCAUCAACGUUCUGAAUUUUUCAAAAAAUUAUUUUGGGCUUUUUUGUGGCUGUCUAUGCUCAACAUCCGAUCGUUUCAUCUUCACAAUUGGCAUGAGAUUUGUCAUUCAUCGUAGUCUGUCGUCGAACUUCCAACGAUUCGUCGAAAACCGUAAGUGUAAUAAUAAUAAACCUUUUAUUUAGUUAGGCCUGUUAACAGGCCAAAUCUCUAAUAUAAUUGGGGCAAUAGCCACAACAAAUCCUGGUGUUCAGUAUAUUCCACUGUAAGGCUAUUUUUUUAAUGCAGCAAUGCAAAUAAGUAUAUUUAAAGAAAUUUACAUCUGCAUUUUCAAAAAUAGUCUUGAUUAAGAGGUAAUAAAAGUGUUCUUUUGGUUAAAAUAA